rnacentral:rRNA from 1 species
AUUGAACGCUGGCGGCAUGCCUUACACAUGCAAGUCGAACGGCAGCACGGGUGCUUGCACCUGGUGGCGAGUGGCGAACGGGUGAGUAAUACAUCGGAACAUGUCCUGUCGUGGGGGAUAGCCCGGCGAAAGCCGGAUUAAUACCGCAUACGAUCUACGGCUGAAAGCGGGGGACCUUCGGGCCUCGCGCUAUAGGGUUGGCCGAUGGCUGAUUAGCUAGUUGGUGGGGUAAAGGCCUACCAAGGCGACGAUCAGUAGCUGGUCUGAGAGGACGACCAGCCACACUGGGACUGAGACACGGCCCAGACUCCUACGGGAGGCAGCAGUGGGGAAUUUUGGACAAUGGGCGAAAGCCUGAUCCAGCAAUGCCGCGUGUGUGAAGAAGGCCUUCGGGUUGUAAAGCACUUUUGUCCGGAAAGAAAUCCUUGGCCCUAAUACGGUCGGGGGAUGACGGUACCGGAAGAAUAAGCACCGGCUAACUACGUG